ACGAACGCUGGCGGCGUGCUUAACACAUGCCAGUCGAACGGAAAGGCCCUGCUUUUGUGGGGUGCUCGAGUGGCGAACGGGUGAGUAACACGUGAGUAACCUGCCCUUGACUUUGGGAUAACUUCAGGAAACUGGGGCUAAUACCGGAUAGGAGCUCCUGCUGCAUGGUGGGGGUUGGAAAGUUUCGGCGGUUGGGGAUGGACUCGCGGCUUAUCAGCUUGUUGGUGGGGUAGUGGCUUACCAAGGCUUUGACGGGUAGCCGGCCUGAGAGGGUGACCGGCCACAUUGGGACUGAGAUACGGCCCAGACUCCUACGGGAGGCAGCAGUGGGGAAUAUUACACAAUGGGCGGAAGCCUGAUGCAGCAACGCCGCGUGCGGGAUGACGGCCUUCGGGUUGUAAACCGCUUUCGCCUGUGACGAAGCGUGAGUGACGGUAAUGGGUAAAGAAGCACCGGCUAACUACGUG
rnacentral:rRNA from 1 species